ACGGAAGGCAGCAGUGGGGGAUAUUGCACAAUGGGCGCAAGCCUGAUGCAGCAACGCCGCGUGCGGGAAGACGGCCUUCGGGUUGUAAACCGCUGUCCUUGGUGAAGAAACAAAUGACGGUAACCAUGGAGGAAGCCACGGCUAACUACGUGCCAGCAGCCGCGGUAAUACGUAGGUGGCAAGCGUUGUCCGGAAUUACUGGGUGUAAAGGGAGCGCAGGCGGGACAGCAAGUUGGAUGUGAAAUACCGAGGCUUAACCACGGAGCUGCAUCCAAAACUGUUGUUCUUGAGUGAAGUAGAGGCAGGCGGAAUUCCGAGUGUAGCGGUGAAAUGCGUAGAUAUUCGGAGGAACACCAGUGGCGAAGGCGGCCUGCUGGGCUUUAACUGACGCUGAGGCUCGAAAGUGUGGGGAGCAAACAGGAUUAGAUACCCUGGUA
rnacentral:rRNA from 1 species